UACGGAGGAUCCAAGCGUUAUCCGGAAUCAUUGGGUUUAAAGGGUCCGUAGGCGGUUUUGUAAGUCAGUGGUGAAAGCCCAUCGCUCAACGGUGGAACGGCCAUUGAUACUGCAAGACUUGAAUUAUUGGGAAGUAACUAGAAUAUGUAGUGUAGCGGUGAAAUGCUUAGAGAUUACAUGGAAUACCAAUUGCGAAGGCAGGUUACUACCAAUAUAUUGA
rnacentral:rRNA from 1 species